CGGGGACCGGCUGCCCCUGCGGAGAGACGGGGAGACUGAGGCUUUGGCAGAGGUGGGGGGCUGUGGAGGAGGAGAUGGGAGACGGAGGGGCACAGGGGUACAGGCUCCAGAGAAACUGAGCUCCGGGGGUUGGAUGAAAAGUCAGAGCCUGCUGUAGGAAAGGCCGAGAGAAAGACCGAGAGACCGAAAGAGAGAGACCAGGAGACUGAGAAAAUGGGAGAGAGAGAUAAAGUCGAGAAGGACACAGAGACAAGAAAGGGAGAGCCAAAAGCCUUCACGGAGGCCAAGGUACAAGUGUAGGAAGACGAUUGAAGGCAUCGUACCAAAAUAUUAACAAUGGGGAUCUUGCUGAAGGGUAAAAUUACUGUGGACAUGAUGGCUGGAGCACAAGCAGCUAUUUUAGACCAUGAGGAAAACUUGGAGAAUGAAAGCCACACACUGCAGAGCAACCAAACAGAAAGAGACAGGGUUCCUGACACAGUGGUCUGCCAUGCUAACUCUCGACUACCUGCCUCUUGACUUCUUAAAUGUGAGAGAGAAAUACACUUCUGGCUAGUAUAACCCAUUGGUAUCUUUUUAAAUUGAAUUAUAAUUGAUAUACAAUAUUA